CCAUGGGAGAAGAAAGAAAGCUCAGAUCUCCCCUUGCCUUCUGAUGUUUCUGAACAACUUGUCCAGACGAUUCUUGUAGGCAGCUACCUUCUCCUUCGAUCCACCAAACCAACAGCAGCAAAUCUGCUAGAAAAAUGGAUAAUCCUCAAUUUCAUACCCAGAUCACAGAUCUGUCAGCAGGAAAAGCAAAACGAAGAAGAAAGAAACCUGGGAUCAAACUGGUUCUGUAGUGUUCACUAGAGGUAUAUACAUAAAUUUGUACAAAAGGAAUUUAACGUACAUGGAUUACAGGGUAGCUGAUUGAAUUCAUAACACUAGCCUUGUAGCCUCAAAAUACUAGACUUGGACACACUUUAUAAAGAGCAAAAAAUGAUAUAUAAUCUAAAUGCUAAACUUGCAUGCUCAAAAAUGCUAAAAGUGCACAUUCAUCAUAGUAAAAUAUAACUACAGCAAAGAAAACUAAUCCACAAAAAAAGAACUUGCAUCAUCAUCAUGCUAUACUUGCGCACACUUUAUCAGAGCAAAAAAUAUAAAAAAACACUUGAAACAAAAAUGAUAAUACGAAAAAUGGAAACUACUGUAUGAAAGAAUCCAAUACUAAAUUUACAUGUGUACAAAAUGAUAAGCUAGUUUCAGGUUAACUGCAUGUAUAAACAUUCAUAAAAUUCAUAAUUUACAAGUAAAACUUGCACCCUCAAGAUAAUAGACUUGCACGUACUUUGUAAGAGCAAAAAUUCAUAGAGUCCAAUACUAAACUUGCAUGCUCCUCAUAGUACACUUGCACACCUUUUACAACAACAAGACUGAUAUUAACAUUCUGAUAUCAUAAUUUAGGGGUUACUGGAUUUAACCUACAUGGAUAACUGGAGGUAGAUACAUGGAGGUAGCAAAACUCAAUUCACAAAAAUAUAACUACAACAACAAAACUAAUACACAAAACCCAAAAUUUUCCAAAAAAGGAACUUGCAUCCUCAUCAUACUAGACUUGCACACGCUUCAUCAAAUCAAAAAAAAAAUCACAAAACCUUGAAACAAAAAUGAUAACAUGAAAGAUGGAAACUUGUAAAGUUAAAUGUGUACAAAAUGAUAACCUAGUUUGAGGUUAACUGCAAUUUGAGUGGUUAUACUAAAUAUUGAGUGGUUAUACUAAAGCAAACAAAAUGAUAAAAUGCAGACAUUUUAUGACAACUAUAACUACAACAAACAUAACUGCAUACACACACUGAAAAAAAAACAUUUGAGUGGUUAUACUAAAUCUUAGCACACUAUUAACAACAACAAGCAAUACAAAUUGUAUGAGUUGAUCCACAAAAUUCAAAAUUUACAAGUAAAACUUGUAUCCUCAUAAUACUAGACUUUCACACACUUUAUAAGAGCAACCUUCAUAUAAAAUCCAAAAACUAAACUUGCACAUUCAUUACAGUAAAAUUGCACACAUUUUACUACAGCAAGACUGACAUAAACCUUGUUGAUAUCGUAAUUUAGAGUUUUCUGGAGGGAGAUACAUUGAUUUAUACAAACAGCAUGUAACCUACAUGGAUUACAGGGAAGCUAACUCAAUUGACAACUAUAACUACAGCAACAGAACUAAUUCAUAAAAUUCAAAAAUUACAAAUGAAACUUGUAUCCUCAUAAAUAGUAGAGUUGCACUUAUUAAAAAGAGUAAAUUUAUAUAGAAAAACCAGCAAAAGUACAUGACAAAACAAAAUCACAAAAAUCAAUGUUCCAUAAAAAAUGCACAUUCAUCAUACUAAACUUGCACACAUUUUACAACAGCAAAAAAACUGGGGUUUACUGGUGGUAGAUAAAAUUAUUUGAACAAAAAUGUAUUUAAACUACAUGGAUUACUGGAGUUAGAUACACUGACGUAGCUAACUAAUUUACAAAUAUAACUAAAGGGCAACCUGGUGCAUGUAGCUCCCGCUUGCGCAGGGUCCAGGGAAGGGUCCGACCACUUUGGGUCUAUAGUACGCAGCCUUUCCCUACAUUUCUGUAAGAGGCUGUUUCCAGGACUUGAACCCAUGACCUCAUGGUCACAAGGCAGCAGCUUUACCACUGCGCCAAGGCUCCCCUUCUAAUUUACAAAUAUAACUACAACAACAAAACUAAUUCAUAAAACUCAAAAUUUGGAAAAUAAAAUUUGCAUCCUCACGAUAAAUUUGCACACACUAUAUGAGAGCAAACAAAUCACAAAAACCUUGCAAAGAAUCCAAUACUAAAAUUAAAUGUGUGCAAAAAUAAUAUCCUAGUUUGAGGUUUACUGCAUGUAUAAACAUUGAAUUCAACAAAAGGAAUUACAUUAACUACACAACACCUAGAUGAAUUGACAAAAAUAUAAAAUCAUUAAACUACUAAAACUAAAAAAUUUGCAACCUCAUACAAGGGGAUAAGAAAACUAAAGAAUGUAAAUGGAUAAGAAACUCACCAUCCUCCUAAAGCAAUAUUCAUCAAGGACGACAUCGAAAACUUCAGGGACUUCAUCGGCUGGCACAAACAGAAAGCAUGGAUCAUCAGGACAAAGACAAACAGGGCAAACCAUACCUACACUAAAAAAACAUAGGGUUAUUCUACAUGGAUAACUUAAAAAAAGAUCUAAAAUGAACAAGCUCCCUAAAAAAAUUAAAUCUAAACAACUUGCAUCUCCAAGCAACUAGACUUGCAUAAACUAUUCAGAUAUUAAUGGGGAACCAUACAUAAACUAGACUUGCAUAAACUAUUCAGAUAUUAAUGGGGAACCAUACAUAAACUAGACUUGCAUAAACUAUUCAGAUAUCAAAGGGGGAGGGGGAGCAUUGUGGUUACAAACUGUAACCUGCAUUUGACUUAACGAAUGAACAUACUAACCAUUCUGCAAAUUUCCCUAAAAAAUAUAACAUUUACUUAAUAACCCUAAAAAAUUGACUACCAAGCUCAAACACUAGGGGUGCAAGGCAGCACCCUGAGCCAUUCUGCUCCGAAUUGAAGAUGAUGCAGGCUCAGAUGUAGCCAGCCUGAUGUGGUUCUAGCUUAAUUUCGGCUAACUCAACACUAUGGCAGACUCUGAAAAGACACCACUCCACACCCAUAUUAAGAUUAAUGAGUUCUAAAUCAACAAAAGAACAUAUAUCACCCACAAAAAAAGAACAUAUAUAAAACCUAGAAGCACAUGACCUUCAAUCUGCAUCAGAAAAUAACAAAUGUACACAAAAAAGGUAGGAUCUUUGAAGAGGUAGAAGACUCGCUCCACAUCUAAAAGAUCCCUAAAACUAGGUACUCGCACUACCACCAAACAAACAAAAAAUAUAGCAAACCUGAAGACUACAAAACCACCUACAGAAGCAUCAAAUCAAAAACACGUACGAUUUGAAUCCAACCUAAACAAUAGAAAAAACCCUAAUUAAAUCACAAUAUAACAAAGAACCCUAGAAAACUACUCUCACUGCCACCGUAAACAUUACAGUAAUGAGAUCAAGCAAAAGAAAAAACCUAGAGGAAGAAGUAUAAGCAGAAGCAGCAGAUCUAGCAAGAACAUCCACAAACCCUGGCUCUCGCAGGCGCAGCAAUACACACUGCGCAAAAAAUUACAACAGAGAAAUUAAGUAAAAGAAAAUACCUGAAGAAGGGGAUAGAUGCAGCAAACUAAUCCCUCUGCCAAGAAUCCCCUGAUUCCCAAAUCCUGUGAACAGAAAAAAGCACAAAAAAGCACCUUAUAAAAGCAUAAGAACAACCACAGGGAUAAGAAUAAGGAGAGGGAGCAGAUCUAGCAAGAACAUCCAUUAACCCCAACUAUCGGCAGGGAGAGGAGAAGACACACUGGACUGAAGCAGAGGCGCAAGUACUGAUAGGAAGCGAGGGGGAAGGGGAUAAGACGAGGAGAGCAGCGACGGUCGGCGUUCCAGAAGACGGGUUGGGCCUCUUAACGGGCACAAACGGGUGCCCCGCGUCGGCAACGAGCCCAGGAAAAAGCGAUUCGACUGAACAAAACAAAGGGUCAGUCGAUAACACUCGGCCCAACUCAGCAAACAGAAGCAACCCGGGAAAAAAAAACCAGCAUGCAUCUUAGCGCAACAUCCGACGGUCAAAAAAUCGACUGACGUGAAACUGAAAAAUCAGCUGACUGAAAUGCAGCUACAUCGCUUGGCAUAAGGGGCAUUGUCCAGUCGUCUUGAUGUGUUGACUUGCUAAAAUACCCAAGCACCGAACAAUGGCAUGAAGCGUCCACGUUAAUUUUCAGAAUCCGCUCGGCCGACAAGGCACACCAUCCUUUUCUCAUCAACGAGUCUCCCAUGUAGUAGUGUUUGUGACAUGGUACAGAGAGGUAUCCUGGGUUUUAAUUCAAAAAAAAAAGAGGUAUCCUGGGACUACUGGCGCAAGGGGUGUGUGCUCCACUGCUCCAUGUCGAUGAGCUUGGAACCGUCUCCUUGCCACCGCAUCCUGCAGCUAGAACCGAACCAUUGCCACCCAAGCACCUGCAACCAUCUUCUGAAGAUGAAAUAUUGCCUCUAAGCCACCUGGACGAGUAUUUAACAAAAAACUACCACAUUUCAUGAAACCGUGCCUAUAAACUACCAUUUUAUAAAUUUGUGCCAAAAACUAUCACUUUUUGUUUAAUCUUUGACUAAAAACUAUCAUGUCGGGAAAGUGCCCGAUUCGCCUCUUCUAAACACCUUUCUGACACCUGUCAGCACCAAUCUUCUCCCUCCUCUUUCUAGCAUUUCCUCGAACACCUCAUGUGCACUCCUUCGCUCUGCCGCUCUGCCCCCGCCGGCUGGCGAGCCCUGCCACCUGCGUCGCCCUCCUUCCUAGCCGAGCCGCCUGCUAGUGUACAAGGUACAUACAGUCUUUCUUUUUCAUACAGUCGAUCUUUUUUCGUGUACAAGGUAAAUACUCAUGGAGAUGCCACGGGUGCGUCUCGCUCUUGUUGUUGAGCGCGUCGGAGUAUUGCAGCACCACGUCCACGACGGAGCCGAGCGCCAGCCGGUACACCGGGCUGCCCACGGUCCUGUUCGUCGGCGCCGGCUCGGAGAUGUCGUGGCUCAUGUUGUCGUACAUGUCGGGCGGGGGACGCUGUUCGUACGCGUCUUUCAUGCCGCGCUUCAUCGCCAGCAGGUAUGGCGUGGCCGGGAACAUGAGGGAGAGGGACAUGCCAUUGAUGGUCCACUUGAUGUGGCCAUCAAUCCUGUUCUGGGUGUUGAGGAGGAGCAGCAUGCGGUCGGCCCUCGCCGGCAUGGGCACGACGUGGCCUGGGUGCGCGAUGAUGGCCUUGCUCUGCUCCACCCUGAUCACCUUGUUGUUCCAUGCCGGGCCAGCCGGUGGCGUCGUGGGCGGACGCAUCCACGGGUUGUUUCCGUUGAAGGCGUAGCUCACGACGGCGGGCGGAGCCAGAAAAUUUAGCCAAUGGGUUCAUUAGUUAGCUCAUUCCGAGGAUUGGGUAAAGCCAUUGUAACAAAUAGAAAUAUGAUACUCCGUAUCAACUAUUACAUAUAGUACUUUACAUUAAAAACUGAGGAUUGGUUGAAAUUAUAAAACCACUUGUUUAAAUUUUGUAAAUGGAGUUACCAAAAUAACUCUCUAGCAUUGGGACCAACUUCUCACCUUCGAAAGAAGAUAAAGAAAAACGCAUUUGUUUGACAAGUUUCACGUAAAGUACCAUGAAGCGAAAGAUGCAUGUAAAUUCACUCACAUUUCAGAGUGUACCGUUUCGAUCUUUCAUCAUCUGAAAAAAAUAGUUUAUCUAUGCAUAAAAGGCUUUGGGAGAUCAUAUAAAUUAAUUUCUCUGAAUAGCUAUCAGCGACAUUUAACGCAUCUACAUCUAGUGGGUAGGCUUGAAGUCCCUAUACAUCAUUAUCCGAAUCUGAUGAUCGAUUUCUAUUUGAUAAAUAUCACACAAUAGCCUAGUUAGGUCAAUCUCAAAGUUCAGAGGAAAUACAGAGCAUAAUUGGUUUGAUGCCAAAAAUUGGCAUGCCAAAUAUUGGCUAGAGGUUGAUUGCUUGCCAAUUCUCGUUCUCAAUCUCACAAAAAGUUAGCAAAUGUUGACAACUUUUGAUUUUGCCAAAUAUUAGCUUGCCAAAUAUUGACAAUGCCAAAUGUUGGUAGCAAAUCAAUUAUGCUCAUAAUUACAAAACUAAGGCAAAGGUUAAUUUCGUGCUAGGAUACAAGACCUGCACAAGAAGGACGAUCUGAUCUCAUUACUUUAGUUUGGACUUCAAUUGCCAGCCGCUGCCGACGGCCGACCUGUUGUUGUCAGCUGCUCGGCUUGCCUCUGGGCUCUGGCCUUUGGCGAUCCCGAUCCGCCGCCGCCAUGGGCGAACAUAGAGGGGAGGCGAGGAAGAUGUUAAUCGGAAAACAUACUGGGAAAACGAGAGGCGUGUCGUGUGUUGCGUACAUGAGGUAGCCCGUCAAGCCUGCUUCGUGGAUGGUACACAUUUACUCAUGGGCUUUUUUUUUGUUUCUAUAAGGAAAACAGUUGUGAGCUUCUGGUUAGGCUAUUGUUAUAAUAAUAAAACAUUAAUGGGCUUAGAGGCUUCUCGCUCGCGUGUUCCAGGUUUGAUGGGUUCAACUAUACGUUUGUAUUGGGUUCAUACACGCGACCGCAUCUAUAAAUGUACAUUUACCUCAAAAAAAAUCUAUAAAUGUACAUCGCUGGAACAGAUAGUUGGGUUCAGAUGAACCCAACGCCUAGACGCUGGCUCCGCCGCUGCUUGCCGGUCGGCGUCUGGCUGGGGUUGCGGCCAACGACGUGGGACGCAGCCCAGUAGUUUCGCCGCGGGUCCUGGUCGGCCUUGACCAGCACGGAGUAUGUCUCGCCAGAGUAGAUGAAGAGGCCCCUCACGGCGAACGGCCGCACGUAGUGCCGUCGGCCUCCACGACCAUCAUCGGGUGGCCCUCGAUCUCGAAGUAGAGCGAGGAGAUCGAGGUGAGGCUGCGGAUGCAGAGGUAUGUCUUCCCCGGCACGGCGGCGAAGAGAGCCGGCAGAGCGCAGUCGGGGCGGGAGGCGUUGCACGUUUCACUGGGAGCGAGCGAGCAAUUGAACAUUCCUCUGCCGUUGAUGAGAGGAGACUGGGCUCGGCGACAAAGACGAAGGGGUUGGAGGAGAGGCCCGUGGCCUGUUUGUAGACGCUCUUGUGCCACCAGUCGCCGAGGAGGACGGUGUGCUCCUCGGCUAGGAGGGAGGGCGGCGCAGGUGGCGGGCUUGCCAACCGGCGGGGGCAGAGCGGCAGAGCGAAGGAGUGCACAUGAGGUGUUCGAGGAAAUGACAGAGAGAGAGGAGGAAGAAGAUUGAUGCUGACAGGUGGGCCCAUCCUGUCAGAAAGGUGUUUAGAAGAGGCGAAUCGGGCACUUUCCCGACAUGGUAGUUUUUGUCAAAGAUUAGACAAAAAGUGGUUGUUUUCGGCACAAAUUUAUAAAGUAAUAGUUUGUAGGCAUGGUUCCAUGAAAUGUGGUAGUUUUUCUGUUAAAUACUCCACAUGGAAACAUCAUGUCCCAUCCUGUGUGGCGAGGACUUCGUUUGCCUCUUCUCCAAGAGGGACGAUGGCGAUCAUGAUGCCUGGAUUGUCACUGUUGACAUGAGGAAGAAAGCAGUGAGAAGGAUGCUGCCAUGUUAUGACGAGCAUCCAACCAUGGUUUUGAAUCCAGACUACAUAUCCUGUGGGCUGAAAAAAUAUCUUACGAGUGAAUCAGAUGGAGGUGGUUCACUCACGGAAGAUACUCGUUCUCAUGGCAAACGUCGUCGUUCGUUUCUCGAAGACCCGAUGUUGAGGGGUUCAACGUUGGAAGAGAGCAAACAAAAUGGUUGAGUCAUGCCCUCCGCCAUAAAAGCAUUCAUCUGAAGCAUUCAUUGUUUGAGUUGGAUGUUAAUUAGUCAGUUAUAUGGUUUAAGAUCUAUCGUACUUCGGUGGUGUAACUUUGCACUGAAAUUGCAUUUUUUUAAAUCUAAAUAUGUGAAGGAUAAGCAUAUAAUUGUGUGCCUUUCGAACUCUAUUAUUCUCUCCGUCCUAAAAUAAGUGUCGCGGACUUAGUACGAUUUUGUAUUAACGUUGAACUAAGUUUGCACUUAUUUUGGAACAAAGGGAAUAUAACUUACAUGCAUAUUGUAUAGCUCUUGUGUGUAUACUUACACAUAUAAAAAUAGAAAUUGAUAUUUGCAAAGGGAAGAGUGAAUUAGUGACGUUGGUAUUACCCUUAAGAAGAAAGAAACUAAAAUAAAACUAAAACAAAAUAACAAAAUUGAUUUUUUCUAAGGAAUCAUGAAUUGGUGGCAUUGCAUUACACUUUAAGAAGAAAGAAAAAUAAGAAAGUUGAAGCAAAUAAUAAUAGAAUUUGCACAUAAUCUACACAUAAUUUUUGUUUUUUAUAAACAUAUAUUAGUAGAUUUUCUGAAAAAAGAAGUUUCCUAAGGAGUGAAUUUGUCGCAUUGUAUUGCCCCUAUAGAAGAAAUAAAAUAAAAUAAAAACUAAAAAAAUCAAAAAAUAAAACUUCAUAAGAAAGAUUGAAUUAGUGAAUUUACACUCCAAAAUAUUUUAUAUACAUCUGUAUGUAGUUCGUAUUGAAAUCGUUAAAAGGGCUUAUUUUAGAAACAGAGGGAGUACAUUUUGAGAACAAAGAAAAAAACAUUAAAAGGGAUAUUAUUGAACGGAAUUCCUGGCUCUACCUAUAGCUAAAGUGGUUUAAUUGCUACCAAGUCAGCAUACAGAUUUUUUUUUUAAACAAGUCAGCAUGCAGAUUUCAUGUCAAGUAAGAAUUCACACGCCAAGAUCUUUUGACAGAACCGCCAUUUGUAAUUAUCGCCUUAUACCGAUCGAGCCGGUAAUCUUCAAUCAAUGAAAUCUCAAUCAGUUUAGAAUCCCCAGAUCUCAUCACCUCUAGAUCCACGAUGAACCGCCGCCACCGCGCCGCCUCCAGUUCCGAUCGUCACGACCACGUCCUCCUCUUCACGCACGGGCACAGCGAACUGGCCGAAGACAACAGCACCACCGCGUACACCUUCACGGAAGCAACGAAGACCAUGAAGGUGACCGUCUCGAUCGCCGACCUGCCGUCGAUCUCCUACUUCCACGUCAGCUGCCCCGACCUCCAAGACAGCCCCUUCAGACAGAGGUCGGAGAUCCUCUGGUCGUCGGAGGACCUCGUCCUCUUCACGGUCUUCCUCGCCCAUCCCGCUCCAAUGGAGUACUUCAUCUACAGGGCCGGGCGCGAGCCGUCGCUCGAUCUGCUAUCUGGCGCUGGAGAGUAUUUCAUGAGGGAGAAGGUAGAUCCAUCCCAACUCGCCGUCGUCCCCGACGGCGCCGGCGGGAACUUCGUCCUCGCCGCCUUCGACUGGGACUGGCUGUCGGCGCGGUGCUACCUCCACGUCUUCAGGUCCAAGCGCCGUUCCUGGGCCAAGGAGCACCUCGCCCCAGAUUUUCCAUCCUGGAUGUUCACCAACCGUCCGGGGUUUUGCCCCCAGAAUGUGAUCGUGGUACGCGGAGGAGCGCUGGGCUACGUCGACCUCUGGAAGGGGAUCCUGCUCUGCAACGUACUCGAGGAGCCGGUGACGACGCGCUUCAUCCCGUUGCCCAACCCGCUGCCCGGCAACCGGAGAGGCUACAACAAUGGGAUGUCGGAACGGGCGUCGUGGGUACGGUUGAUACGCGACGUCGCCUGCACAGACGGCCUGACGAUCACAUGCGUCGAGAUGGAAGACCUAUACCGUUUCGUAGCGAGAACACCUGACGGCGAUGUGCUCCAUGACUCCGACAUUGAUCCGUCCGAGGAGGCGGGGGAACGCAGAUGGGUUGGCUGGAGGCUCGUGGCAUGGCAUAGGGAGGUCUCCUGGGACUACUGGCGCAAGGGGUGUGUGCUCCAUGUCGAUGAACUUGGAACCGUCUCCUUGCCCCGUCAUCCUGCUAGAACCGAGCCAUUGCCACCCAACGGCCGGAAGCCGUCAUCAUCAUCAUCUCGACCUACAAAAUUGCCUCUAAGCCACGUGCUGGUAUUCUGUCCCAUCCUGUGUGGUGAGGGUGUCGUUUGCUUCCUCUCCAAGAGGGACAGCUACCGCGAUCAUCGUGCAUGGAUCAUCACUGUUGACAUGAGGAAGAAAGCUGUGAGAGGAUUGACGCCGUACUAUGACGAGACACCCAUGACUUUCAAUCUAACCUACUUAUCCUGCGCGCUGAAGAAAUAUCUCAAGAGUGAAUCAGAUGGAGGUCGUUCUCUUGUUGUGGAAGAUACUCGUCCUCAUGGCAAACGCCAUCGGUUGUCCCUGGAAAACACUAGUAGUCACAGUUCCCAGCCAAAGAGGACUUUGAGAGGCUCGACAAUGGAACAGAGAAAACGAUAUGGUUGAGUCAUCCUGUCCGAGUCCGACACAGAAGAGACACCAUAUAUUAGUAGCUCAUACAAUCCUUGGCCGCCCAAAUCUUAAAAUGAAAUGUAAUCCUCUUCAUUCAUCUGAAGCAAUUGAUAUUUUAAGUUAGCAUCUGAAGCAAUUGAUAAUUUAAGUUAGAUUUGAGUGAGUUAUAUAGUUUAAAACACAUAGUACUUGUUCGGUGGUGUAAUACUAUUUCCUAAUGCAUUUUGUGCGUUCUUGUUGUUCAUCAUGCCAUGCUUGCGUUUAAAAGUAUAUCUUUCCUAUGGUGUAGUAGCAUCCCAUAUGUUGCACGCAAUUCAUCUAGACAAAUACUACAUAGCCAAUAUUCCAUAUAUUUUUUUGUCAUAUUUCACUUAGUUGGAAACUUAGAAUAACAACAAACACUCCUUCACCGUUGUCAGGGCCUAGAAUAUGAAGUGAUCUGGGCUGGGUCACAAUCAUUGAGCAAGGGAGAAUAGUUUCAGAAGGACAGUUUAUGGUCAAUUUUUAUCUCUCCGACAGUAUGAGGUAACACAAUCAUCAUUUCAGCUUGAGACUUACUUUCAUGUCUAUGUUUCCAAGUGAUGAAAAAGUUGUUGAAAAUCAUUUAGCUUUAAUAUUAAUGUCAUAUUUAUAGUGCUUUUAGUGAACUGGCUUGUGCAAAAAUUAUGUCACAAAACAUCAUAAAACCAUCGUUUACAUUGUGUAGUUUGCAGUUUUUUUCUGAACCACACUUUGUCCAUUGAAGCUCAAGGCCCAUGAUUUCAUCUAGAACUGCUAUAAAUUACAUUAUGCUCUACCAAAAUGUUUCCAUUCUCAUUUUAAUAAAAAAUCGAGGAGAUUCCAAUGUCUCCUGAUCGUUGAGCUCUGCUGGUUAUUGAUCACUUUGGUGUUCCUUUUUUAUCUAUACAACUUUGAUGGUACAGCCAGUGCUUAUGUGUCUACUUCAUUUCCAGUCAUGUAAUUCACUUCACACCCAGGUGUGUGUUGUAACAAAUUCUCCUCUCCUUCCUUAAUAUAUAAGGCAAAUCUUUUGCCUCCGUUUCAAAAAAAAAAAAAAAAACCUGGAGAGGAACUCUAGUAGAGUCGCCAUCGCCAUGGGGGGAUUGAACUCACCACCUCAGCCUUCAAAUUUCUAGCUACCAAUGCGACACUAGCGAAUUUCUAGCUAAUAUGAGUACGAUACAUAUCUAUACACAAAUAAUUUGAAUUCGAAAUUCAUUUGAAAACUUUGAUGCACUCGGUAUUUUUCGGUAACUGUGUUUCUCGCCUUCCAGCAUUAUUUUCCUUGAUUCGGUAGGCAAAAUAUUGGUUGGCGGUGACGGUGAACCGCAACGGAGCAUACAGUUCGCGCGGGGAGGAGGAAACUCUUCUUGGGUGGAGUGGAGCAUAGAGCUUGAGCAGAUGAGAGAUGGAAACACAUUCGAUGGAUACAGAUCGCUCGCUGAAAUCAGCAUGCCGACAGCUAGUGCGAAUAAUAUGUAAUCACAAUUUUGGCUAAAAGUGAAGCACGAUGUACAGAUGAGAAAAGAGAUUCUCCCGUGAAUGUCUUAGCCAUCCACUUGUUUGGACAUCCGCAUGCAUGCAUGCUUAUCUUUUUUAUCUGCAUGGCUUAGCCAUUAAUUAAUUUUAGAGGACCCACGCGUGCACGCUUUUGUCAGAGUUGCAUGCGCCAUCCAUCCCACCUCCCUUGUCUUUUUCUUUAUUUCAUCUUUUAAUUUUAAUUUACUAUAUCUUUUGAAACCAAAAUUCAAAUUAAGUUUCACAUAUUUGUGUUCGUCACGAUGAGAACUUUCUAACGAGACCAAAUCUAAGUUUCAACUAUUGAAACUUGAUUUUUCGAUAAAGGAAUAUAUUAAUAUCGCGAAUAUAUCAAUUACACCCAGUCUCUGCACCAACAAGAUAUCGGAGACAUCAAGGAUGCACACAACCAAGAACAAAAAUAAAAAAGAGAAAAAAAAAUAAAAACAAAGACCCCAUCGCAGUGAUGAAACACUCGCAACAGCAACACUCUAAACAUUACCAAAGUCAACACCCGGACGACAGAAGUGGUUCUCCAAAAGCGACGCCUUCAAGAAGGAAACAAUGCACAAGCGUUGUCGUCGCCCGAUCAAAGGAUCUUGAGUCUUCAUCCUGGCGAGAGUCCGAGAUCCUAAAAACAAUGCCUUCGCAAGACCAUUGCCAGGUACAACCAAUGAAGGCCAUACCUUGGAUUUUUCACCCUGGAGAUCGCGGCUCGGUACUCGAGAAGCAAACCAAAAAAUGUUGUCCACCUGUGUUGCCGCCCCCUCCUGCCAAGGCCGCCGUUGCAAGUGCUCAACACCCAACACACGGGAAAACAAACAUGUGCCACCAUUCUUCAGCGCAACCAAAACUCCUCUCCGCCAUUACAAGUCUCUGAUCGCAUCCAUCAUGACUUUCUUCACCAUUGUCAACGCCGUGGAAAUCUAUACUUAGACAUUUUCCAUGGCACCGGCAAGACAGCGAAGCUUCACGCCAUGCCCUCAUAAAGCAUCUCUGGCUGAAGGUGAGGGCGCGCCUGACCAAAUCAAUUCCAAUCUAGAUAUUGAGUGACGCCGUGCGCCACAAGCUGAGAUCUCCGAUAGUCGUAACAUUAAUUUUUACCAAGUUUUACCAACGUUUUUUGGGUUUAGGGAUCUAGGCUAGGGCUUAGGGCUUAGGGCUUAGUGUUUAGGGACUAGGGUUUAGGGUGCAAGUUUUAGUUUUGAAAAUUGCUAAAUUUAUAAUUGUUUCUAAUUUAUAAUUGUUUCUAUUGAGUUUUAGUAGUUGAAAUUUUUCUCGACCACCCGAUUUACCUCGUUGGAUUUCGCACGAGUCCACGCCAAGUUUAAAGUUUCAGUUUCUGAAACUUGCGACUUUCUGUUCGCGUGUACCAAGUUUCAACAAUUGAAACUUAAUGAUUUAAAAACCCGUCAAAACAUAUGCAAAAUUGGUUUUAUUUGAAAGUCUUCGUCACAAGCAACACAAAUUUGAAAAUCAAAAUUAAAUUGGACUGUGGUUCAAAAUAUAUAGAAGACUGAAAAUUGAGCGUCAAAAGAAAAUGGAUGGGAGAUGGGAUGGGUGAAGCUGCAAAAGGCCGCGUACCUGUGCCCGUCCAAGUGAUCUAUGCACGGGACCUCCGGUGCGCGCGAGAAGAAAAUCCAAUCUCAUAUACAGACUGCUCUUGCUGCACGAGGCCAUGCUUGAAUACCUGAAAACCACGAUGUUAAUCAGCCAACCGUCAUUAGCUAGCGGUUGGGUGAUCGAGGGUAUAAAUACCCCGAUCUUCAGGCAAUGAAAUUAGUUCAUCCUCGAUCAAUUAUUUUACACUUACCAGAACCCAUAGAUCGCGAGAGACACCCCAGAAGCCACGAUGAACCGAAGCCACGCCGGCACCAGCUCCGGCUCCGUCGGCCGUCCCGACUACGUCCUCCUCUCCACGUAUGGGCACAGCGAACUGGCCGAAGACAACAGCACCA
rnacentral:lncRNA from 1 species